UGUAUAUAAAACAGCGGCAUUCCAUUGGAUCCAAAAUUUUAGCUAAACAUAAGCCGGUUUCACUAUUUCACAAUUCCAUAUUCCGUUGACACUGACGAAAAGAAGCUCAGUGACAGUUGAAGCCUUGAGACUGUGUAUGCUCUAACAACCAAGCCUUUGUUUGUUUAGCUUAAACUAGAGUUGUUCAUUCUGAGAUGUCACGUGUUCCAGGAUUUCGUUCUCUUACAACAAAGAGCAAGAAUGCUGUUGUUGCUGGAGGGUUGACGUCAUUUAUCUUUGGGGUGUAUUUCUACACAAUGAGAGCAGUUGGUGGUACAGAUGAACUUCAAGUAGCUAUUGACAAGUUUGAACAUCUGAAACAUAGAGAUGAGCAAGAAGCUACCUUGACACCCAAGGCAUAGUUAUUUAUAUCCCCAGACUUGUUAUGGUUUCUUGAUGUUUGAAUUUUGAAUAAACUCUAAAUUUAUAAUUGGUCUGUUUCACUUGACUAACA